rnacentral:rRNA from 1 species
UAGGGAAUCUUCCACAAUGGGCGAAAGCCUGAUGGAGCAACGCCGCGUGUGUGAUGAAGGGUUUCGGCUCGUAAAACACUGUUGUAAGAGAAGAAUGACAUUGAGAGUAACUGUUCAAUGUGUGACGGUAUCUUGCCAGAAAGGAACGGCUAAAUACGUGCCA